UACGUAGGGUGCGAGCGUUGUCCGGAAUUAUUGGGCGUAAAGAGCUCGUAGGCGGUUUGUCGCGUCGGACGUGAAAACUUGGGGCUUAACCCCAAGCCUGCGGUCGAUACGGGCAGACUUGAGUUCGGCAGGGGAGACUGGAAUUCCUGGUGUAGCGGUGAAAUGCGCAGAUAUCAGGAGGAACACCGGUGGCGAAGGCGGGUCUCUGGGCCGAUACUGACGCUGAGGAGCGAAAGCGUGGGGAGCGAACAGG
rnacentral:rRNA from 1 species